GAUGAACGCUGGCGGCGUGCCUAAUACAUGCAAGUCGAGCGAACAGACGAGGAGCUUGCUCCUCUGACGUUAGCGGCGGACGGGUGAGUAACACGUGGAUAACCUACCUAUAAGGCUGGGAUAACUUCGGGAAACCGGAGCUAAUACCGGAUAACAUGUUGAACCGCAUGGUUCAACAGUGAAAGACGGUCUUGCUGUCACUUAUAGAUGGAUCCGCGCCGCAUUAGCUAGUUGGUAAGGUAACGGCUUACCAAGGCAACGAUGCGUAGCCGACCUGAGAGGGUGAUCGGCCACACUGGAACUGAGACACGGUCCAGACUCCUACGGGAGGCAGCAGUAGGGAAUCUUCCGCAAUGGGCGAAAGCCUGACGGAGCAACGCCGCGUGAGUGAAGAAAGUCUUCGGAUCGUAAAACUCUGUUAUUAGGGAAGAACAAAUGUGUAAGUAACUAUGCACGUCUUGACGGUACCUAAUCAGAAAGCCACGGCUAACUACGUG
rnacentral:rRNA from 1 species